rnacentral:lncRNA from 1 species
AUGGAAAAGAAAUGCAAAAAAGCAAAAUGGCUGUCUGAGGAGGCCUUGCAAAUAGCUGUGAAAAGAAGAGAAGUGAAAAGCAAAGGAGAAAAGGAAAGAUAUUCCCAUCUGAAUGCAGAGUUCCAAAGAAAAGCCAGGAGAGAUAAGAAAGCCUUCCUCAGUGAUCAAUGCAAAGAAACAGAGGAAAACAACAGAAUGGGAAAGACUAGAGAUCUUUUCAAGAAACUUAGAGAUACCAAGGGAACAUUUCAUGCAAAGAUGGGUUUGAUAAAGGACAGAAAUGGUAUGGACCUAACAGAAGCAGAAGAUAUUAAGAAGAGAUGGCAAGAAUACACAGAAGAACUGUACAAAAAGGAUCUUCAUGACCAAGAUAAUCACAAUGGUGUGAUCACUCACCUAGAGCCACACAUCCUGGAAUGUGAAGUCAAGUGGGCCUUAGAAAGCAUCACUAUGAACAAAGCUAGUGGAGGUGAUGGAAUUCCAGUUGAGCUAUUUCAAAUCCUGGAAGAUGAUGCUGUGAAAGUGCUGCACUCAAUAUGCCAGCAAAUUUGGAAAACUCACCAGUGGCCACAGGACUGGAAAAGGUCAGUUUUCAUUCCAAUCCCAAAGAAAGGCAAUGCCAAAGAAUGCUCAAACUACCGCACAAUUGCACUCAUCUCACAUGCUAGUAAAGUAAUGCUCAAAAUUCUCCAAGCCAGGCUUCAGCAAUACGUGAACCGUGAACUUCCAGAUGUUCAAGCUGGUUUUAGAAAAGGCAGAGGAACCAGAGAUCAAAUUGCCAACAUCCGUUGGAUCAUCAAAAAGGCAAGAGAGUUCCAGAAAAACAUCUAUUUCUGCAUUAUUGACUAUGCCAAAGUCUUUGACUGUGUCGAUCACAAUAAACUGCAGAAAAUUCUGAAAGAGAUAGGAAUACCAGACCAUCUGACCUGUCUCUUGAGAAACCUGUAUGCAGGUCAGGAAGCAGCAGUUAGAACUGGACAUGGAACAACAGACUGGUUCCAAAUAGGAAAAGGAGUAUGUCAAGGCUGUAUAUUGUCACUCUGCUUAUUUAACUUAUAUGCAGAGUACAUCAUGAGAAACGCUGGGCUGGAAGAAGCACAAGCUGGAAUCAAGAUUGCCAGGAGAAAUAUCAGUCACCUCAGAUAUGCAGAUGAUACCACCCUUAUGGCAGAAAGUGAAGAGGAACUAAAAAGCCUCUUGAUGAAAGUGAAAGUGGAGAGUGAAAACGUUGGCUUAAAGCUCAACAUUCAGAAAACUAAGAUCAUGGGAUCUGGUCCCAUCACUUCAUGGCAAAUAGAUGGGGAAACAGUGGAAACAAUGGCUGACUUUAUUUUUCUGGGCUCCAAAAUCACUGCAGAUGGUGAUUGCAGUCAUGAAAUUAAAAAAUGCUUACUCCUUGGAAGGAAAGUUAUGACCAACCUUGACAGCAUAUUUAAAAGCAGAGACAUUACUUUGCCGACUAAGGUCCAUCUAGUCAAGGCUAUGGUUUUUCCAGUGGUCAUGCAUGGAUGUGAGAGUUGGACUGUGAAGAAGGCUGAGAGCUGA